CCUACGGGAGGCAGCAGUGGGGAAUAUUGCGCAAUGGGCGCAAGCCUGAUGCAGCCAUGCCGCGUGUGUGAAGAAGGCCUUCGGGUUGUAAAGCACUUUCAGCGGGGAGGAAGGCGUUAAGGUUAAUAACCUUGUCGAUUGACGUUACCCGCAGAAGAAGCACCGGCUAACUCCGUGCCAGCAGCCGCGGUAAUACGGAGGGUGCAAGCGUUAAUCGGAAUUACUGGGCGUAAAGCGCACGCAGGCGGUCUGUCAAGUCGGAUGUGAAAUCCCCGGGCUCAACCGGGGAACUGCAUUCGAAACUGGCAGGCUAGAGUCUUGUAGAGGGGGGUAGAAUUCCAGGUGUAGCGGUGAAAUGCGUAGAGAUCUGGAGGAAUACCGGUGGCGAAGGCGGCCCCCUGGACAAAGACUGACGCUCAGGUGCGAAAGCGUGGGGAGCAAACAGGAUUAGAUACCCGUGUAGUC
rnacentral:rRNA from 1 species